UUUUAUUCAUGGGUAUGACGUAGGUAGAUUCUGGUAGAUCAGGCCUCUGGUAGGUUGCUGGUAGUUGAUUGGCAGUUCCCUCCAGACUGGUGUCGGCGUCCCAUUGGCAGUUGGAAGGGUUCUUUGUCUUUGGAACCCAUCCCCAGGAGAGGGAAUGAGUGUGUGUAUGUGUGUGCGUUCCUGUCUUGGCAAGUCAAGUCUGUGUGUCCUCGCAGUGAGUGUGUGUAAUGUGUGUGCGUUCUUAUCUUGGUGUUCUCGCAAUGAGUGUGUGUAUGUGUGUGCGUUCUUGUCUUGGCAAGAUGUUGUGGCCGAACUGACGGCUAGCACCUGUGGCUAGGAUGUAUCCUGUUUUGACAGUGUUGUGGAUGAUUUAACAUCAGUACAACAUGCCUGACUCUCCUCCACCAGUCACAAGGAGAAUGGUAUAAUGCAUCCCAUCAAAAAGAGAGCUGGCCCAAGCAAGCACAGGUUACACCUGAAGCAUGAGGACUUGCAGCGAGUGGUGAACUUCAUCAACAACUAUGCAGAGGAUAAUGCAAUAGUAUUACCAGGACACCACCCAGGAGACAAACACUUUGGUGGAAAGCUGCUGCCAUCCCAUAUGACAAAAGGAGCAGUAUGGCGUCUCUACAAGGAAUCGAUGACAACACUUGAGGUAGGUGUAGUCAGGCUGUCUUCCUUCAGGAAUUUGUGGAGAAAAUUGCUGCCCCACAUCUCAAGCACUAAGCUCAGGACAGACCUCAGGACAGACCUGUGCUGGCAGUGCCAGAGGAACAAUUAUCAGGUCUUCAGAUCUGCCAAUCUGACAGAAGUUGUUAAAUCAGCCAAACUGAAGAAGCAAGAACAGAAUCUCCUGCUUGUUCAGAGUGAGCUGUCUGUCUACCAGAAGAUGUUUGCUGACUGCAAGACCACCUGUCAAGACCUGCAAUUGUCUCUGGGGGCCCUUACUGAACCAGCAAGCAAGACAUCAGGAUGGAUUUUUGAUUUUGCUCAACAAUGUGUUUUGUUUGGUGUCUGCUGGGAAGGAAUACCACAACAAAAGGUUCUACAGCUGCAACAUCGAAAGUAUCCUGACUGGUUGCAUCACUGCCUGGUACGGCAAUUGCUCGGCCUUCAACCGCAGUUGGGGAAACACGUGUGGACCUGAAUUGUGAUAACUGCAGUGGUCAAAACAAGGCCCUUUUCUCAAAAUGUACUCAGCAAGUCGGGAGUUUGCGAAGCAGGAUUUACUUGACGUGAUGUGAUCUACUUGACUUCAAAGAGGUCCAGCCAAUCUUUUGGUAAAUAAUACAGUGAUAAAUAAUAAAACUAAGGGAGGUAUGAAAAACGUCAUCCAAGGGUUUAUUAAGAGUAGAGACAGCUGCACUUUGACAAAUAGUAUCACCAUAUUCAAGAACAGGUAGAAAGGUUGACUGCACAAUUUGCUCCCUGCUGACUAGAGAGAGACAAGAUAUGUUUUCUUAAAAAGUAAAAGCUCAGUCAUGUUUUAAGAACAAUAAAUCAUUGUCAAUCCAAAUACCUAGGCAGUUUUAUGCAAGAACCAUCCAAUAAGUUAAGAUGUAAUCCAUCUUAGACAAUCUUACGAGAACUUGGAAACAAUAUUUAUUAUACCCGUAUUAAGUAUGAGUUUUAAAUCAGUAAGGACUUCCGGUACAACUGCAAAAUCGGAAUGUAGUCUUGUCACAGCCAAGCGGUCGGGGCAAUUGUGUGUAUAAUAGUAUCAUCCGCAUAUAGAUUAAAUGUAAAAAUUGAAACAGAUUGACCAAUAGCAUUUAUAUUGUCACGCUCUGAUCUGUUUCACCUGUCCUUGUGCUUGUCUCCACCCCCUCCAGGUGUCGCCCAUCUUCCCCAUUAUCCCCUGGGUACUUAUACCUGUGUUCUCUGUCUAUUGCCAGUUUGUUUUGUCUGUUCAAGUCAACCAGCAUCUUGUCUCAGCUCCUGCUUUCCCCAGUCUCACUUUUUCUCUUCCUCUUGGUUUUGACCCUUGCCUGUCCUGACUCUGAGCCUGCCUGGUGUCCUGUGCCUUUGCUUCUACUCUGGAUUACUGACCUUUGCCUGACCUGACCCUGGCCUGCCUGAUGUCCUGUACCUUGGCCCCACAACUCUGGAUUAUCAACCCCUGCCUGCCUUGACC